rnacentral:tRNA from 1 species
GGGUAGGUUGCAGAGCGGUCAAAUGCUACGGACUGUAAAUCCGUCGUCUCAGGACUUCGAUGGUUCGAAUCCAUCCCUGCCCACCA